AGACGGCGCCUUUGUGCGGGCGGCCGAGCAGUUGCGUCCGUCCCAACUGCAGCGCUCAGCUGGAGAUCUUUUGGGAUAGAGAACAGUGACAGGAACAGCCUUGUUAAUUCUCUAUUACAGGUAGUUUAACAGAGUUGGAAGGGACCUUAGAGGUCAUCUAGUCCAGCCCCCACCACUAGCUCAAGCAGGAGACCCUACACCAUUUCUGACAGAUGGCAGUCCAGUCUCUUCUUGAAAGGAGCCUGUAGUACAGUGGACUAAAGCACUGUUAUUAACAUCUGCUGCUUGCAAUUACUGCAAGUUCAAAUCUCGCCAAGGCUCAAGGUCGACUCAGCCUUCCAUCCUUUCUAAGGAAUGGAAAACGUUUCUCCAAAACGAAGGACGAGACGGAGAAGAAGACGUGACUUUACGGGCGUAUCACUAAAUCACAAGCGAUUGGGUUUGUAUGGGUGGACUCUAGGCAACUGAAUGGAGCUGAGUGUUUACUGGCCGGAUGCCCUUCCUGUCACCAAUGCGGAGCUAAAUUCAGCAAAUGUAAUCUCAACGUGCCCAGAGAGAGAAAUAUCUGCCUCUACCUAGGAUCGAACUCACAGCCUCCUGAUUGUGAGGUGAGAGCUCCACCUCUAGGCUGCCGCACCAUUCACUUAAUAGCUGCCAUGCUUAGCAAUAAAAAUUCUGGCACUAA